AACGGUCUAUACCUGCGGUACCUGCGGAGGGAUCAUUACCGAGUUUAGGGGGCCCGUUGGCCCCCGAACCUCCAACCCUUGACUGAAACUACCGCGUUGCUUUGGCGGGCCCGCCCUGAAAACGGGCCGCCGGAAGCGUCAUUGCCUCUGGCCCGUGCCCGCCAGUAGCCACAACCAACCCUUUUUUAACCGUGACGUCUGAGUGCAAAUACAAAAUGUACGUAAAACUUUCAGCAAUGG
rnacentral:misc_RNA from 1 species